CUGAACUUAGCCCAACCCCCCCCCAGAUACAAUUACACACUGCAUCUAAAAUAAAUCAUUCACUACACCCAUUAAAGUAUAGGAGAUAGAAAUACUAAUAGGCGCUAUAGAGAAAGUACCGCAAGGGAACAAUGAAAGAUUAUACCAAAGCAAUAAAUAGCAAAGAUUACCCCUUGUACCUUUUGCAUAAUGAUUUAACUAGACCUAAGCUAGCAAAGAGAACUUAAGUUAGCACCCCCGAAACCAGACGAGCUAUCCACAAGCAGCCUACAGGGCAUACUCAUCUAUGUGGCAAAAUAGUGAGAAGACUUACGGAUAGAGGUGACAAGCCUAACGAGCCUGGUGAUAGCUGGUUGUCCAGAAAAGAAUUUUAGUUCUAAUUUAAGUCUACCUAUAAACUCCAAAAAUUUUCCUGUAGGCUUAAAGAGUAGUCUAAGGAGGGACAGCUCCUUAGACGUAGGCUACAACCUUAACUAGAGAGUAAGUAUAAUAAACCAAACCAUAGUUGGCCUAAAAGCAGCCACCAAUAGAGAAAGCGUUCAAGCUCAACAAUCAAGUUAGUUUAAUCCUAACAAUUACCAACCAACUCCUAGUAUAAAACUGGACCAUUCUAUAAUUAUAUAGAAGAGAUACUGUUAAUAUGAGUAACAAGAAACUAUUUCUCCCCCGCAUCAGUGUAUAUCAGAACGAACUCUCACUGAUAGUUAACACAAGUAAAGUAAACUAAAUAACAAGUCCUUUACCACUAUCAUGUUAACCCGACACAGGGAUGCCCUCAGGGAAAGAUUAAAAGGAGUAGAAGGAACUCGGCAAACACAAACCCCGCCUGUUUACCAAAAACAUCACCUCUAGCAUCCCCAGUAUUAGAGGCACUGCCUGCCCAGUGACAUACGUUCAACGGCCGCGGUAUCCUGACCGUGCAAAGGUAGCAUAAUCACUUGUUCUCUAAAUAAGGACUUGUAUGAAUGGCCACACGAGGGUUUAACUGUCUCCUACUCCCAAUCAGUGAAAUUGACCUCCCCGUGAAGAGGCGGGGAUAAAACAAUAAGACGAGAAGACCCUAUGGAGCUUUAAUUAAUUAGCCUAAGAAUAAAACAUAUCUCUCCGAAAGGAUCAAAAUACUCUCUCAUAGGCUAACAAUUUAGGUUGGGGUGACCUCGGAGUACAAAACACCCUCCGAGCAAUUUUAAGCUAAGACUAACUAGUCAAAGCCACACUACUUAUUGAUCCAAAUUUACUUGAUCAACGGAACAAGUUACCCUAGGGAUAACAGCGCAAUCCUAUUCAAGAGUCCUUAUCGACAAUAGGGUUUACGACCUCGAUGUUGGAUCAGGACAUCCCAAUGGUGCAGCAGCUAUUAAAGGUUCGUUUGUUCAACGAUUAAAGUCCUACGUGAUCUGAGUUCAGACCGGAGCAAUCCAGGUCGGUUUCUAUCUAUUCUACGUCUUCCCCAGUACGAAAGGAUCAGGAAGACAGGGCCCCCUUACGAACUAAGCGCCCUCUAACUAAACAGAUGACACAAUCUCAAUCUGGCAUGUUGUAAACAACCCUCUCCCCUAGACCAGGGCU
rnacentral:rRNA from 1 species